rnacentral:lncRNA from 1 species
AUUUGACUUGGUGAUGUGUAACUGAGUUCUCUUCCUGAAGGGGGAAACGCAUUCCAGAGCAUUUGUUCGGGCUCAUGUAGGAAUAGAUCUUUGACUGCCCGGUAAAUACGUUCUCCCGUCGGUGCGGGACCUCCCCGGGCCCCUCCGCUCCACCAUCUCCGGGCCCGGAGCCGUCGCUGCCGCCGCCACCGCCGCCGCCGCCGCCGCCGCCUCCACCGCGCGGGGCUUGGACAUCUUCCUGCCUGCAGCCCGGCCAGGCCCAUGGCAGCGCGCCCCGCGCCCUAGCCGCCGGCAGCCCGCCCGCCCGCCCGCCCGCCCGCCCGCCCGCUCCACCUAAUUAUCUUGAAAUUCUUUUGUUUCUUAGCCUUUUCCGCCCUGCAAUGCCUAGCAUGGUGCUUUGCAUAGAGUAGGUGCUCGCUGAAUACCGUACAACUGAAAUUAUUGAAUUGAAUGCCCACUGUCUUUACUAUUUUCCUGUCAGUCUGUGCUUGCCUUAACCACGGACUCUCUACUUUUAAAUCUGCAACUAAUUCCUCAUUGUUUUCUAAGGAUCAAGUGAAGGGCAGCCACGCUUCCCUUCUCGGCACCAGUGCCUAAGGGACCAGGAAAAGAGGUGUUGGGGCUGUGUGGUUGUGUUUUCCUCCUGUGCAAUGAAUUGUUUCUCUCUAGCCCGUAAGUAGUUCAGAGCCAUUAAACUUUUCAAGCAGAGACCUGAUAUAGCUAGAUUUGUACUUCAGCAGGAUCACCCUCAGAGGCCCUGUGAUGGUGGGCUGUGCAGGCAGUGGAUAGGGGAGAGAUGGUGAAGGCCUAAGCCAGGCACAUGGCAAGGAGGAGACAGGGAAGAAUAUUUAGCGGUGGCCUGGGCUCCGUGCUGCCUUCCUCACACUGAAGCCAGUCGGUGUUAAAUCCCCCAGGAACUGUGCUGGAAGAAAACUGACUCAGAGCCUCAAGGUGGAUGGGCCACGUUUCUGGGAGUCUGUGGUGAUUCCUGUGUUCCCCUUUCCUUUGCAGUGACAAAGCUGCAGGUGAGCAAAUCGAAGAGGACCCUCACCCUGGUGGAAAACAAGCCCAUUCAGCUGAACUGCUCAGUCAAGUCUCAGACCAGCCAGAACUCCCACUUUGCGGUGCUCUGGUACGUCCACAAGCCCUCAGAUGC